rnacentral:rRNA from 1 species
GACGUAGGGCGCGAGCGUUGUCCGGAUUUAUUGGGCGUAAAGAGCUCGUAGGCGGCUUGUCACGUCGGGUGUGAAAGCCCGGGGCUUAACCCCCGGGUCUGCAUUCGAUACGGGCAGGCUAGAGUGUGGUAGGGGAGAUCGGAAUUCCUGGUGUAGCGGUGAAAUGCGCAGAUAUCAGGAGGAACACCGGUGGCGAAGGCGGAUCUCUGGGCCAUUACUGACGCUGAGGAGCGAAAGCGUGGGGAGCGAACAGG